UACGAAGGGGGCGAGCGUUGUUCGGAAUUACUGGGCGUAAAGGGCGCGCAGGCGGCUCAGACAGUCAGAUGUGAAAGCCCCGGGCUUAACCUGGGAACUGCAUUUGAUACUACUGAGCUUGAGUACGGGAGAGGAUAGUGGAAUUCCCAGUGUAGAGGUGAAAUUCGUAGAUAUUGGGAAGAACACCGGUGGCGAAGGCGGCUCUCUGGACCGUAACUGACGCUGAGGCGCGAAAGCGUGGGGAGCAAACAGG
rnacentral:rRNA from 1 species